GAUGAACGCUGGCGGCGUGCCUAAUACAUGCAAGUCGAGCGAACGGACGAGAAGCUUGCUUCUCUGAUGUUAGCGGCGGACGGGUGAGUAACACGUGGAUAACCUACCUAUAAGACUGGGAUAACUUCGGGAAACCGGAGCUAAUACCGGAUAAUAUUUUGAACCGCAUGGCUCAAAAGUGAAAGACGGUCUUGCUGUCACUUAUAGAUGGAUCCGCGCUGCAUUAGCUAGUUGGUAAGGUAACGGCUUACCAAGGCAACGAUGCAUAGCCGACCUGAGAGGGUGAUCGGCCACACUGGAACUGAGACACGGUCCAGACUCCUACGGGAGGCAGCAGUAGGGAAUCUUCCGCAAUGGGCGAAAGCCUGACGGAGCAACGCCGCGUGAGUGAUGAAGGUCUUCGGAUCGUAAAACUCUGUUAUUAGGGAAGAACAUAUGUGUAAGUAACUGUGCACAUCUUGACGGUACCUAAUCAGAAAGCCACGGCUAACUACGUGCCAGCAGCCGCGGUAAUACGUAGGUGGCAAGCGUUAUCCGGAAUUAUUGGGCGUAAAGCGCGCGUAGGCGGUUUUUUAAGUCUGAUGUGAAAGCCCACGGCUCAACCGUGGAGGGUCAUUGGAAACUGGAAAACUUGAGUGCAGAAGAGGAAAGUGGAAUUCCAUGUGUAGCGGUGAAAUGCGCAGAGAUAUGGAGGAACACCAGUGGCGAAGGCGACUUUCUGGUCUGUAACUGACGCUGAUGUGCGAAAGCGUGGGGAUCAAACAGGAUUAGAUACCCUGGUAGUCCACGCCGUAAACGAUGAGUGCUAAGUGUUAGGGGGUUUCCGCCCCUUAGUGCUGCAGCUAACGCAUUAAGCACUCCGCCUGGGGAGUACGACCGCAAGGUUGAAACUCAAAGGAAUUGACGGGGACCCGCACAAGCGGUGGAGCAUGUGGUUUAAUUCGAAGCAACGCGAAGAACCUUACCAAAUCUUGACAUCCUUUGACAACUCUAGAGAUAGAGCCUUCCCCUUCGGGGGACAAAGUGACAGGCGGUGCAUGGUUGUCGUCAGCUCGUGUCGUGAGAUGUUGGGUUAAGUCCCGCAACGAGCGCAACCCUUAAGCUUAGUUGCCAUCAUUAAGUUGGGCACUCUAAGUUGACUGCCGGUGACAAACCGGAGGAAGGUGGGGAUGACGUCAAAUCAUCAUGCCCCUUAUGAUUUGGGCUACACACGUGCUACAAUGGACAAUACAAAGGGCAGCGAAACCGCGAGGUCAAGCAAAUCCCAUAAAGUUGUUCUCAGUUCGGAUUGUAGUCUGCAACUCGACUACAUGAAGCUGGAAUCGCUAGUAAUCGUAGAUCAGCAUGCUACGGUGAAUACGUUCCCGGGUCU
rnacentral:rRNA from 1 species